CCACCCACCAAUUUUUCCUAACAACCACUUUGCAAUUAGACGCAACACAUUCUGGUGCAAGGUAAAUUAGGCACACCUGCCGCCAGACUUCAUUUGAACCGCAUCAGGAAAAGCCCUAACAAGCAGGCAGAAUGGAAGACCGGAGCCAAAGACAAACUACUGUAGCUCAAGAGAGACGACCCAGCAAUACUCUCCCUGGAAAAAAGGUUGGGGGAAAGUUCUGGCAAGACUUAGGUAGGCGAUUGUAAGGGUAAAAGAUGGGCUCUCGUUUCGUUUGA